rnacentral:rRNA from 1 species
UGGGGACUAUUGGACAAUGGGGGCAACCCUGAUCCAGCCAUGCCGCGUGAGUGAAGAAGGCCUUAGGGUUGUAAAGCUCUUUCAGUCGUGACGAUGAUGACGGUAGCGACAGAAGAAGCCCCGGCUAACUCCGUGCCAGCAGCCGCGGUAAUACGGAGGGGGCAAGCGUUGUUCGGAUUUACUGGGCGUAAAGGGCGCGUAGGCGGGGUAUCCAGUUAGGGGUGAAAGCCCGGGGCUCAACCUCGGAACUGCCUUUAAAACUGAUACUCUAGAGUCCGGAAGAGGGUCGCGGAAUUCCCAGUGUAGAGGUGAAAUUCGUAGAUAUUAGGAAGAACACCAGUGGCGAAGGCGGCACACUGGCCAAUUUCUGACGCUGAGGCGCGAAAGCGUGGGGAGCAAACAGGAUUAGAUACCCGUGUAGUCC